CCAUCCAUCACCUAAGUAGUUGGUUGUUCCAUGCAUCUCCUAUCUUUCAGUUUGCUACCCGAUGGAUCCUACAUUUUAAAUUUCUUCACUUCAAUGGAUUGCAUUUUGCCAUGUGCAUAAUUAAUAUGUGGUUAGAUGUUUGUUCGCCAUUGUUACUAUAAGGUGUAGCAGACAUGGGUCAGCCUGUACGCCAUUGGAGACCAGGUUCUUUGAUGCAUGCCCCGAGCACCCAUGA
rnacentral:lncRNA from 1 species